CUCCUACGGGAGGCAGCAGUGAGGAAUAUUGGUCAAUGGACGAGAGUCUGAACCAGCCAAGUAGCGUGAAGGAUGAAGGUCCUACGGAUUGUAAACUUCUUUUAUAAGGGAAUAAACCCUCCCACGUGUGGGAGCUUGUAUGUACCUUAUGAAUAAGCAUCGGCUAACUCCGUGCCAGCAGCCGCGGUAAUACGGAGGAUGCGAGCGUUAUCCGGAUUUAUUGGGUUUAAAGGGAGCGCAGGCGGGAGUAUAAGUCAGCUGUUAAAUAUCAGAGCCCAACUCUGUUAUGCAGUUGAAACUAUAUUUCUUGAGUACGCACAGGGAUGGCGGAAUUCAGGGUGUAGCGGUGAAAUGCUUAGAUAUCCUGAAGAACUCCGAUCGCGAAGGCAGCCAUCCGGAGCGUAACUGACGCUGAGGCUCGAAGGUGCGGGUAUCGAACAGGAUUAGAUACCCUGGUAGUCCGCACGGUAAACGAUGAAUACUCGCAGUUCGGCCGUUUAGGUCGAGUUGUCCAGCGAAAGCGUUAAGUAUUCCACCUGGGGAGUACGCCGGCAACGGUGAAACUCAAAGGAAUUGACGGGGGCCCGCACAAGCGGAGGAACAUGUGGUUUAAUUCGAUGAUACGCGAGGAACCUUACCCGGGCUUGAACCAAGAGUGACGAGUGCAGAGAUGCGCUUAUUCUUCGGACACUUUUGGAGGUGCUGCAUGGUUGUCGUCAGCUCGUGCCGUGAGGUGUCGGCUUAAGUGCCAUAACGAGCGCAACCCUUUUCUACGUUUGCCAUCGGGUAAUGCCGGGAACUCCGUGGAUACUGCCGCCGCAAGGCGGAGGAAGGUGGGGAUGACGUCAAAUCAGCACGGCCCUUACGUCCGGGGCUACACACGUGUUACAAUGGUCGGAGCAGCAGGAAGCUACCUGGUGACAGGAUGCUGAUCCCGAAACCCGGCCUCAGUUCGGACUGGAGUCUGCAACCCGACUCCACGAAGCCGGAUUCGCUAGUAAUCGCGCAUCAGCCAUGGCGCGGUGAAUACGUUCCCGGGCCUUGUACACACCGC
rnacentral:rRNA from 1 species